rnacentral:rRNA from 1 species
UUUCUAUAUGAAAGUGGCGGACGGGUGAGUAAUACAUAGGCAAUCUGCCCUGAAGUGUGGGAUAGCUAUUGGAAACGAUAAUUAAUACCGCAUAGGUAGUAGGAAGGCAUCUUCCUACUAUUAAAGAUGCAUCUGCAUCGCUGCAGGAUGAGCUUAUGGUGUAUUAGCUAGUUGGUGAGAUAAAAGCCCACCAAGGCUAUGAUACAUAGCUGGUCUGAGAGGAUGAACAGCCACAUUGGGACUGAGACACGGCCCAGACUCCUACGGGAGGCAGCAGUAAGGAAUUUUCGGCAAUGGGGGCAACCCUGACCGAGCAACGCCGCGUGAGUGAUGAAGGUCUUCGGAUCGUAAAACUCUGUUGUAAAGGAAGAAUGUCAUAUAUAGGAAAUGAUAUAUGAGUGACGGUACUUUACUAGAAAGUCACGGCUUACUACGUGCCAGCAGCCGCGGUAAUACGUAGGUGGCAAGCGUUAUCCGGAUUUAUUGGGCGUAAAGGGUGCGCAGGCGGUCUGUUAAGUUUGGUGUGAAAGCGUGGGGCUCAACCCCAUACAGCAUCGAAUACUGGCAGACUAGAGUGCAGAAGAGGGUAAUGGAACUCCAUGUGUAGCGGUAAAAUGCGUAGAUAUAUGGAAGAACACCAGCGGCGAAGGCGGUUACCUGGUCUGUAACUGACGCUCAGGCACGAAAGCGUGGGGAGCAAAUAGGAUUAGAUACCCUAGUAGUCCACGCCCUAAACGAUGAGUACUAGAUGUGGAAUUUUCAGUGUCACAGCUAACGCAA